rnacentral:rRNA from 1 species
CGCGCCUAACACAUGCAAGUCGCACGAGAAACGGAGCAAUCCGCGGUACAGUGGCGCACGGGUGAGUAACACGUGGAUGACCUUCCCUGGAGUGGUGGAUAACCUGCCGAAAGGCGGGCUAAUACAGCAUGGGACCACGACGCUUUGGCGAUGUGGUGAAAGCGGGCCUCUAUAUAUAAGCUCGCGCUCCGGGACGGGUCCGCGUCCCAUCAGCUAGUUGGUGAGGUAACGGCUCACCAAGGCAACGACGGGUAGCUGGUCUGAGAGGAUGGCCAGCCACACUGGAACUGAGACACGGUCCAGACUCCUACGGGAGGCAGCAGUGGGGAAUCUUGCGCAAUGGGCGAAAGCCUGACGCAGCGACGCCGCGUGGGCGAAGAAGGCCUUCGGGUUGUAAAGCCCUGUGGGGGAGAACGAACCGUACGGGGGCGAACACCCUCCGUGCCUGACGGUACUCCUUUUAGCAAGCAUCGGCUAACUCUGUGCCAGCAGC